rnacentral:rRNA from 1 species
CUACGUGCCAGCAGCCGCGGUAAUACGGAAGGUCCAGGCGUUAUCCGGAUUUAUUGGGUUUAAAGGGAGCGUAGGCGGAUUGUUAAGUCAGCGGUUAAAGGGUGUGGCUCAACCAUACAUUGCCGUUGAAACUGGCGAUCUUGAGUGCAGACAGGGAUGCCGGAAUUCGUGGUGUAGCGGUGAAAUGCUUAGAUAUCACGAAGAACUCCGAUCGCGAAGGCAGGUGUCCGGGCUGCAACUGACGCUGAGGCUCGAAAGUGUGGGUAUCAAACAGGAUUAGAUACCCUGGUAGUCCACACAGUAAACGAUGUAUACUCGCGGUUUGCGAUAGAGUGUAAGCCGCCAAGCGAAAGCAUUAAGUAUACCACCUGGGGAGUACGCCGGCAACGGUGAAACUCAAAGGAAUUGACGGGGGCCCGCACAAGCGGAGGAACAUGUGGUUUAAUUCGAUGAUACGCGAGGAACCUUACCCGGGCUUGAACUAACGGUGACGAAUCUAGAGAUAG